CACAGGUCCCCGGGACUCAGUCUCAGUCAACAUGUAUCAGGCUGCUCCUGGUGUGUCUUCCUGUAUGAGAGGCUAGAGAGCUGAGUGAACGCUGUGUUUCAUGGAUUCCCUUGAGCGGUAUUCCCACUGUCAUCUGCACUCAUAUGGACUCACAUGAGGAACUGCAUGAAGGCGGGUUGGGGAAAGCUAUCUGAAGAGGAAGAUUCUGAUACACAGACCUGUGUCAUCUCACUCUUCCUAACUCAUCAAAAUUGGAUGUUAACAAACAGAAGUUUCAGAAAUAUUCUCUACAGAGAUGAAAAGCCUCUGAGAGAUGGUACAAAUAUGUAAAAAUGUUCAAGAAGAGUUGGAGAAAUCAAUGAAUGCCAAUAUGUAAUGGGAUACUAUGAGAAGCUGGUGAUAUUUCAAGGAAUACCCUCAAUUUUCCAGUUGAUGGAAUGCAAAGUCAGAAUCAGUCAUGCUCUGUAAUCUAGUGCUCAGCAUUCGAGAUUUCACUGGAAAGACCAAAUCCUGGGCUGGAUCCUCGGUGGGUCUGAUCCAAUACAGCAAUUACUUCUCCCGUGUAAAGCUCCCAUAGCACCCUAUGCUUCUUUCCAUAGCAUUUAAUAUUCUGCAUUGUAAUUGAUUUUCACAUUUAUUUAGGAGGAUUGUGAAUUUAACUCAUACCACAUCUCCAAAAUACAGAGAAGCUGUAGUCCUUUUGUUAAUUAAUCCAGUCUUUUUCCUCCAUUCCUCCCUGCUGGUAAAAACAAUGACCAUUUAGCCUUUCCUGAUUUCAACUUAAUCUGAUCCAAUAAUUUAAACACUCCCUUUAAAAAGUGAUGUUAGUCUGUCUUGGAAAAUAAAA